rnacentral:rRNA from 1 species
UCCAGACUCCUACGGGAGGCAGCAGUGGGGAAUAUUGCACAAUGGGCGAAAGCCUGAUGCAGCAACGCCGCGUGAAGGAAGAAGGCUUUCGGGUUGUAAACUUCUUUUAAGGGGGAAGAGCAGAAGACGGUACCCCUUGAAUAAGCCACGGCUAACUACGUGCCAGCAGCCGCGGUAAUACGUAGGGGGCAAGCGUUAUCCGGAUUUACUGGGUGUAAAGGGAGCGUAGACGGUUACGCAAGUCUGGAGUGAAAGGCGGGGGCCCAACCCCCGGACUGCUUUGGAAACUGUAUAACUGGAGUGCAGGAGAGGUAAGUGGAAUUCCUAGUGUAGCGGUGAAAUGCGUAGAUAUUAGGAGGAACACCAGUGGCGAAGGCGGCUUACUGGACUGUAACUGACGUUGAGGCUCGAAAGCGUGGGGAGCAAACAGGAUUAGAUACCCCCGUACG